ensembl:snRNA U6 U6 spliceosomal RNA
GUGCCCACUUCAGCAACACAUAUACUAAAAGUGGAAUGAUAUACUAAAAGCAUGGCCCCUGAACAGGGAUGGCACACAAAUUCGUGAAGUGUUCCAUAUUUUU